rnacentral:misc_RNA from 1 species
AUUGGGGAAAUUAUUGAAUCUCUCCCGAAUUGACUUCCUUGAAUCGCAUAGUUCUUUUAGGCCAGUAAAGAGCGAUAAACUCUAAAAGAGAACGAUUUUCUAAAAAGGAAACGAGGCAGAGGAGUGGGCAGCUAUUUAGGGUUCCUUGCUUCCUUUAGUUCAAUCAAAACAGCGGCUCCAGAGCGGUGAAUGACAACCACAACGACGACGGAGCUAGAAAGGCAAUCGUGAAGUGAAAUAAGGUGGUGACUUCAACGUGGUGCGGCGGAAGGCUUAAGCUUUUAGCGUUUGUAAGAGGAAAUUCUCCGUUUGUU